UACGUAGGGUGCAAGCGUUAAUCGGAAUUACUGGGCGUAAAGCGUGCGCAGGCGGCUUUGCAAGACAGAUGUGAAAUCCCCGGGCUUAACCUGGGAACUGCAUUUGUGACUGCAUGGCUGGAGUGCGGCAGAGGGGGAUGGAAUUCCGCGUGUAGCAGUGAAAUGCGUAGAUAUGCGGAGGAACACCGAUGGCGAAGGCAAUCCCCUGGGCCUGCACUGACGCUCAUGCACGAAAGCGUGGGGAGCAAUCAGG
rnacentral:rRNA from 1 species